rnacentral:rRNA from 1 species
UACGUAGGGACCAAGCGUUGUUCGGAUUUACUGGGCGUAAAGGGCGCGUAGGCGGCUUGCCAAGUCACUUGUGAAAUCUCUGGGCUUAACCCAGAACGGCCAAGUGAAACUGGCAUGCUAGAGUGCAGAAGGGGCAAUCGGAAUUCUUGGUGUAGCGGUGAAAUGCGUAGAUAUCAAGAGGAACACCUGAGGUGAAGGCGGGUUGCUGGGCUGACACUGACGCUGAGGCGCGAAAGCCAGGGGAGCAAACGGG